GCCCGCUGUGAGGAGGAAGAGGA
rnacentral:miRNA from 1 species